GCAAUAAUCAUCUCAAAAACAAAACAAUCACACCAAGCAAGAUAAAACAAUAAAGCUAACAAAAAUAAUAAAAGUGAUACACAUAUCUACUCUCACCCCCUCCCCCAAACUUAUUACAGAACAUAAGUUCGAAAAUAAGUUUGGAGGGAUGAUGAUAUGUGUGUCACUACUUACAGAAACACAUGCUCCAAGGUGGUGGUAUGGACCUUGCGCUCUUCCUGCAUCUUCCAAGCUUCAACUAUACUAAUACCUCAAAACAAAGAAAACAAAGAAACAAAAAGCAACUAAAAGAAAGAAAAACAAAACAAAGAAAACGGUUGGGUUACCUCCCAACAAGUGCUUAAUUUAACGUCUAGAGCUCGACGAUACCUCAUGGCCUCAAUGAACAUCAAAUGCAGCGGGCGUGACAGACCGCCUAACACG
rnacentral:lncRNA from 1 species